rnacentral:rRNA from 1 species
AUUGCACGCUGGCGGCAGGCCUAACACAUGCAAGUCGAACGAGUGGCGGACGGGUGAGUAAUGUCUGGGAAACUGCCUGAUGGAGGGGGAUAACUACUGGAAACGGUAGCUAAUACCGCAUACCAUCGGAUGUGCCCCGAUGGGAGUAGCUAGUAGGUGGGGUAAAGGGUCACCUAGGCGACGAUCCCUAGCUGGUCUGAGAGGAUGACCAGCCAAACUGGAACUGAGACACGGUCCAGACUCCUACGGUAGGCAGCAGUGGGGAAUAUUGCACAAUGGGCGCAAGCCUGAUGCAGCCAUGCCGCGUGUAUGAAGAAGGCCUUCGGGUUGUAAAGUACUUUCAGCGGGGAGGCGUUACCCGCAGAAGAAGCACCGGCUAACUCCGUGCCAGCAGCCGCGGUAAUAC